rnacentral:misc_RNA from 1 species
AGCAAACCCACCUUUUCCAUUUAUAUGAUUCAAAACAACACCGAACAGGAAGAACAGAGAUCAAGACGUGAAAGAAACUAACAACAUAAUCAGAAAUAUAUAUAACAUUAACAUAGCAUGCUUAAUUAGAAUUACAAUUGCAAUAUUCGUUGGAAAUUAAUUAGUCCACUUGAAGGAUGGAACAUACUGUUUGGAUGACAGUGAGCAUGAGGAGAAAAGAAGCUGCUAUAACAGAGAUAAUAGUCCAUGGAUUAUUGAAAUACUUUUGCUUCAAGGUUGCCUUCCACUUGUUCCUAGGGAUCUUGCAGUAUGCGUUAAGAUCUUUAACGAGAUCAGAAAAAUAGAAAUACUCACCCACAAGAGUCUGAUUGCCAAGACUGUUGACAAAGGUUGCUACGGCUUGGUUAUCCUGCAGCCAGUUUUCUAUGAUUCCAUUUUGAAUGAGUAGUUGGACAUCCUCUUCAUCGUUAAUAAGAAAAUCCAUGAUAAUAACAUAGUCACUGGUAUAGUUGUCAGACGAAUGGCACUGCUCAAAGGCCAAUAUAUUCCUAAGUAAAGUUUCUGUAUGAUCUGUAAUUUUCCAUUCUGGAAUAUACAAAAUUCCCUUUUCAAAUUUUAUGUCAAGUAGGCAAUUGCUUGAACUGGAUUCAAACUUCACUCCCGCUUGAUGGAGAUGCGUAAUAGUGGGUGUCGAUAAAUUUCUAUAUUUUUUGUUUGGAGUUGGGUUUGAUGGCUGCAGACAUAUUCUUAGGAAGUCAACAAGAUGCAGCGCUUGAAAGCUCUUCUCCGAUAAGUUUUUUAGCUUUAGAGAUAGCCUUAUAACUUCACGAGUGAAAAAACACUGGAUCAACUCAACUAUGGAAAUUCCAACCUUAGAUAGAUUCAAUAACUUCUCAAGGAAGAAGAAAGGAACCUGAUUCUCAAGUAACAAUAUGUCAUACCUUAUAUUGUUUGUAAGUCGUUGUUUUCUGAAUACACGAUCUGCUUUUGGCCAGCCACCGAAAUAUCUUUUUAGAAAGUACUCAAUCAAAAAAGCUGCAUCUGUUAACAUCAUUUUCACAAAAUCCUCUCUGGGAAAUUGAAUGUUUUCUGCAUAACAAUUUCUCAAUUCUGUCUCACAUGUCUCAGUGGCUUUAAUGAACUCUAACAAGCUUACCCCGCUCCUAUUUAAAAAAUCAAACAGGUACCUUUUUUUAUGCUCUUCCAUUGCUCGAAAUUCCUCCUUCCCAUAGUGAAGCGGGCCAAUGGAGACUACUCGAGGGGUGUAGGCUUUUUCAUUUAACUCGCGUAGUUGCACAGGAACUCUAUAUAUGCAACACUGAUCUGAUAAAUGAUGCAAGCUUUCCAUCUCUCUUCUCAUACACCUUUCUAAUUUUUCAAUAUCAAGUGAAACCUGGUCACUCAUCUGCUUCGUUGAUGAUGUUUCCUCAAUCUCCAUCUUAGUGGACGAGUUUUGAAGAUCUCGUGUGGGCAGAUCCUUUAUGUAGAAACCCAAAUAACACAUCAAGAAAUGAAAUGAUUAGACCAAUGAUAAGUGGUGGUGGAAUGUGUUUAUGAUAGGGAGUGAGGUUUCUUCAUGAUUCGUAACAAAAAUAAAUAAUUUCUCCUCCCAUUUUGUGAUCUAUUGGAAGCAUCAUCCUACCUUAUUAUUACAGUCAAUUAAUCAUUUAGCUAAAACUCUUCCUCCGAUGUAUUAAAAAAAAAAUGAAUAAAUGAUAUAUUUAGCUGUAACACUUCCUAAUUCUCCCUCUCCUUCAAGUGUAUUCUUCACAAGAAAGACAGUUGAAUAAAAUUUUUAUUAGGUGUGAUUUAUUCAAUUUAAAAUUUUAUAAAACUGACAAUUAUAAAGCAAAAGUGACUAAAUAAAAAGGCAAUUGAAAAACCUGCUUUGUUGAUGAUGUUCCCGCGCACUUCAUAUUGUAACUCUUGAUGAAUAAUUGAUGAGCUAUGUGUCGGUGGGACGGAUGAGUUUUGAAGAUAUUGUGAGGGCUGGGCAGAUCCAGA